AAAGCAGAUCACCUUAUCGCUCUCGAUGAUUCGGGGGAGGAAAGUCCGGACACCAUAGCACAGUAUAGCGGGUAACGCCCGUCCGUCGUAAGGCGAGGACAAGUGCAGCAGAAAGUAUGUACAGGUAAUGCUGUAGUGAAACCAGGUAAACUCUAUACGGUGCAACGCCAUGUAAACCAGCUUUUGAGGGUUGUGCGCCCAAUGUUGGAGGGUAGGCGGUUUGAGCUGAUAAGUAAUUAUUAGUCUAGAUAAAUGAUAAGGACCCGAUAUAUCGGGAAACAGAAUCCGGCUUAUGAUCUGCUUUUUUU
rfam:Aquimarina atlantica strain 22II-S11-z7 contig1, whole genome shotgun sequence.